GACAGAGCGUGGAAAAGGGGUGUCGGAGUGCUCCAAUUCCCAAAGUGUGGUGCCUCAGGAAAAUAAGAAAAAGCGACACGCAAAGUAGAAUCCUUUUUCAUUCUUAGAUUUGUUUGUUGGGAAUGGAUUGCUGUUAUGUACCUUCAGGUGUAAAGUGAACUAUGUUAAAAAUUCGUUCGUUAUUGUGGUUGGCGGUGCUGUUGCUUUUAAUUUGUCAUCUUGGCCACUCAUUUCACAUGCAUAAGAUCAUGGCAGCCGCCUUACUCGCCAAUUCAAUGCAAAGAAACAGCUUCUUGCCUUUACCGAUCCCAAUUCCCAUUCCAGUUAAAGUCGGAGGAAAUACAAUCAUAGCGAUGCCCAAUAUGGAUGGUACUACGUCAUACAUGCCUACGCAGAAUACAGGAUGUUCUCAGCCACCCUGUGUAUCCCUGGCUAAUUUCGCCAAAGGGAUUGGUCGAACCUCUUUUUGGUGAAUAAAGACCCAUGAACUGUUAUUCACUCUGGCAGUGAAUUUCUUAUGCGAUGUAUAUGUAUAAUUCUGUUGUAAAUAAAUA